AUUUUUUUAAUUUUGGUAAUUAUCUGUUUUCUUGCAUUAAUUGUUAAUUGGAGUAAUAAGAAAUGGCCAGACAUCCUAAACUGAUUUCCUCAUGAAAGUGAAUCAUAGCAAUCAAAGGUAAUGAACACGUCUUAAUUUUUAAAUCUUUUUUGGAUAUUUUUCUUUUGACAGUAAAACUUGACAGCAGUGACAAAAUAAUACAAUAGUCAUAAUAGGAGCGAAAUAAUUAACAGUAAAUAUGUACAAUGAAUAAUGAAUCACAGUAAUUGUAUGUUGUUUAACACGUCUGACGAAUUUGUCAAUUUACGUAUCUUCCCAUGACUUUUAUGUGUAAUUUGUAAGCAAUAGUGUAUAAAUACGUAAAAAUUAUAGUGUUGUGGGAUAUGUCAACAAAGUCACAGUUAACGAAGGAUUUAAAUGAAAGUAUUAAACGCUUAUUGGGGAAGCAAGUUAAGAUCCUAUUUAAAAAUGUCGUACGACUUGA